AGUAUGAUGUGCAGUAGUAACAUUUCAGCUUCAAAGAGAUUCCUACCAUUUGUGGCGUCCGAGAGCGGUUUGCAAGGUUUUGUUAACGCUUGCACUACCAUGCUGCCACUGUCAGCCGUUCUACCAGCAUCAAUUAGGGAAGAGAUGGAUAUUUUUUUCCAUGACGCCAUCAACAUAAAUGUUGAUAACAAGAGAGUGCUGAUAAGCAGUCUUGUAAAAAGUUACAACAUGUCAUGAGUUCCAGUCAAAACACGGACAGGGUGAAAAGGCUGUUUAAGAGGUAAGAAACAGACUAUUAGUCCCUGAGGACCCUGAGGACCUAACCGUUAAUCGUG